CGGGCUGUCACAAUCUACCCACCUUACAGAAAUUUCGUCCUCGAAAUUUACACAAUCUUUACAAUCCAUCAAUAUCCAUGAAACAGCCCGAAACACAUCUCUCUCAUUCGAUUCUUUGACUUUCAAGUAGUUUCUUCCACUGAAAGAUUCCUCCAUAAAUUUUCACCAAACUCAGAGUCUUGAAUAUCAUCCGUCCCCAAUUCUAACAAUUUCGAAACACAAGACAUAGCUUUUCCACGGCCUUAUGGCGUUACUCUAGGGAACAAACUGAAGGAACCAACAUACCCAAGAAGUUUAACAGAUCCCAAUCUCCUUUUUCCAUAAAACAAAUAAAUAACUGUUGCGCUUAUCUGGAAAGGUUGAUGUUCUCAUACUGAAGUAACAUGCGCUGACGUCACAAGUUAAUCAAUUAUUAUUCAAACUCCAACCUAACUAUUUGGUAUACGAGGAAGCUUGUCCAUGAAAUCCAUAGUAAUAUUCUCCCAUUUCCGCCGUGGAAUGGGAAAUGACUACAUUAUUCCAAAAGACUUAUUUUCUUUCUGCUUUAACCUGAUGACUGAUGAUACGCCUACUAACAUACUUCGCCAUUCCUCUUUUCAUACCCGUCAAUAGUACAUGAACGAAUGGUAUGAUAAAUCUUAGUACUUUUGGGAUGCAUUGUAGAAGUGGAAUAAUGUACAUCGUCAAAAUUGCUUUAUUUAAUUCCACACCAUUAGGCAUAAACACUUUGUUCCCUUGCAUAAGCUUGCCAUCUGAUUCUCUAACUCUAAGGUCCUUCUUCUUUAUCCCGUUAUUCCUUGCUUUAAAUAAAUUCUUAAAUUUCUUCGUCAAACGCUUGAGUAUCGAGUACGAUCUACCAAAUGGGUCCAACUUAGAAAUUAGCAAGUAAGGCUUUAUUCUCGAUUUUUGAUACUCAACUUUACUCCAGUAGAUUUCAAAUCCACAAGAAGAUGAACAUAGCAAGCAUACCAAGCAUUAAUUCUCACUGGGGUCUUCCUACUAAAUGCAUCAGCCACAACAUUAGCUUGACCACCCUCGUCACACAAUCAUAAUCACUAAGCAAACUCAUUCCACCUUUGUUGCCUAAGAUUAAGAUACCUCUGAAUAAACAGAUAUUGGGUACUCUUUUGAUUUGUAACAAUCAUGCACUUUUCUUCCCAUUAAAGACAAUGUCUCCAAAUUCUCAAAGCAAAGAUGAUAGCUGCUAAUUCCAAAUUAUAAUUAGGGUAAUUCAUCUUAUGAGAUCCCAAUGGCCAUGAAGCAUAGGCAAUCAUCCUACCAUGUUGCAUCAACGCGCAUUCAAGAACAUUCAAAGAAGUAUUACUAUAGACCACGUAAUUACCACUAUCGUUUGGGAGUGCGAAAACAGAUGCAUGAGUGAGGGAAUACUUUACUUGCUGAAGCUCUACUCACAAUUUUUUUCAUCCCACUCAAACUUAACCUCUUUUUCUCAUCAAUCUCGCCAAGGGCGAAGCAAUAAUUAAAAAAUCUUGGACGAACUAUCGACAAUAUCCUGCUAAUCCGAGAAAACUCUGAACCUCAGUCACGGUUGGCAAUUGUUCCAAAUUCUCAAUCGUUGCUACUCUUUUAAGAAUCCACUUGAAUACCUUAAGUAGAUAUAAUUAAUUUAUCCAACAUUAGCAUUUGCUAAACUUAGCAUACAUCAACGUUCCUUCAAUCUUUGCAACACCAACUUUAAAUAUCUAGCAUGCACUGCUCUAAUCUUAUCAAUCUCGUCAAUGGCAACAACAACAAACCGAUCUAGAUAUCACUGGAAUACUUCCUUCAGUAAGCUCAUAAAAGUAGCAGGUGCAUUCGUCACUCCGUAUGGCAUCCCAACUUGAAAUGACCAUAACGAGUCCUGGAUUCAGUCUUAUGGACAUCCCCACUGUUAAUCUUCAACUAAUAUCAUUCAGACCUCAAGUCAGUCUCAGAAAGUACCCAGGCGCCUCAGAGCUGAUCAAAUAAUAAUUAAUACACAAAACAAUGGAUAACAGCUCUCAAUCGUUACCCGAUUCAAUUACCUAAUAUCAAUGCCUAGCCUUAAUGUCCACUUUCUUCCUCACAAAUAAACCGGAGCUUUUCCAAUGUGAUAUAAUAAGUUGAAUGGAACUUUUAACUAAACCUGAACCAAUUUCUAACAUAGGAUUUGUACCUAAAAACAAUUCAAUAAUGGAACCCACAUCUCUGCCUGGCGGCAAUCUAGGUAAGUCAUCUGGGAAUACACCAAGAAAAUGUCUAACCAUCUUUACAUCUUCCAUACUAUUAGGAUCAACAUCAUUUAGCACCAUAUGAACUCAAUAUCUUGGCAGCCUUUUGAUAACAAUCUUCUUUGCUCUCUCAACAGGAAUAAUGGCAUAACUCACUCCACUUUACUUACCCCCAAAAGUAACCUCUGGUCAUCUAGGUCAACAAAAAUUAACUGAUUCCCCAUAGCAAUCNUCUCUCUCAUUCGAUUCUUUGACUUUCAAGUAGUUUCUUCCACUGAAAGAUUCCUCCAUAAAUUUUCACCAAACUCAGAGUCUUGAAUAUCAUCCGUCCCCAAUUCUAACAAUUUCGAAACACAAGACAUAGCUUUCCACGGCCUUAUGGCGUUACUCUAGGGAACAAACUGAAGGAACCAACAUACCCAAGAAGUUUAACAGAUCCCAAUCUCCUUUUUCCAUAAAACAAAUAAAUAACUGUUGCGCUUAUCUGGAAAGGUUGAUGUUCUCAUACUGAAGUAACAUGCGCUGACGUCACAAGUCAAUCAAUUAUUAUUCAAACUCCAACCUAACUAUUUGGUAUACGAGGAAGCUUGUCCAUGAAAUCCAUAGUAAUAUUCUCCCAUUUCCGCCGUGGAAUGGGAAAUGACUACAUUAUUCCAAAAGACUUAUUUCUUUCUGCUUUAACCUGAUGACUGAUGAUACGCCUACUAACAUACUUCGCCAUUCCUCUUUUCAUACCCGUC
rnacentral:lncRNA from 1 species